AACGAACGCUGGCGGCAUGCCUAACACAUGCAAGUCGAACGAGACCUUCGUGUCUAGUGGCGCACGGGUGCGUAACGCGUGGGAACCUGCCUUUAGGUUCGGAAUCACUCAGAGAAAUUUGAGCUAAUACCGGUUGAUGUCUUCGGACCAAAGAUUUAUCGCCUUUGGAUGGGCCCGGGUUGGAUUAGCUGGUUGGUGGUGUAAAGGCCUACCAAGGACAUGAUCCAUAGCUGGUCUGAGAGGAUGCUCAGUCACACUGGGACUGAGACACGGCCCAGACUCCUACGGGAGGGAGCAGUGGGGAAUAUUGGACAAUGGGCGAAAGUCUGAUCCAGCAAUGCCGGGUGAGUGAUGAAGGCCUUAGGGUUGUAAAGCUCUUUUACCCGAGAUGAUAAUGACAGUAUCGGGAGAAUAAGCUCCGGCUAACUACGUG
rnacentral:rRNA from 1 species